CGGUUAAAGCAUCUUCGGAUGUGUAUGAAGUGGCGAACGGCUGAGUAACACGUGGGCAACCUGCCCUUUGCACUGGGAUAGCCUCGGGAAACCGAGGUUAAUACCGGAUACUCCAUAUUUGUCGCAUGGCGAAUAUGGGAAAGCUCCGGCGGCAAAGGAUGGGCCCGCGGCCUGUUAGCUAGUUGGUGGGGUAGUGGCCUACCAAGGCAAUGAUGGGUAGCCGGGUUGAGAGACCGACCGGCCAGAUUGGGACUGAGACACGGCCCAGACUCCUACGGGAGGCAGCAGUGGGGAAUCUUGCACAAUGGGCGAAAGCCUGAUGCAGCGACGCCGCGUGCGGGAUGAAGGCCUUCGGGUUGUAAACCGCUUUCAGCAGGGACGAGGCCGCAAGGUGACGGUACCUGCAGAAGAAGCCCCGGCUAACUACGUGCCAGCAGCCGCGGUAAUACGUAGGGGGCAAGCGUUAUCCGGAUUCAUUGGGCGUAAGGCGCGCGUAGGCGGUCUGUUAGGUCAGGAGUUAAAUCUGGGGGCUCAACCCCUAUCCGCUCCUGAUACCGGCAGGCUUGAGUCUGGUAGGGGAAGAUGGAAUUCCAAGUGUAGCGGUGAAAUGCGCAGAUAUUUGGAAGAACACCGGUGGCGAAGGCGGUCUUCUGGGCCAUGACUGACGCUGAGGCGCGAAAGCUAGGGGAGCGAACAGGAUUAGAUACCCUGGUAGUCCUAGCUGUAAACGAUGGACACUAGGUGUGGGGAGAUUAUACUUUCCGUGCCGCAGCUAACGCAUUAAGUGUCCCGCCUGGGGAGUACGGUCGCAAGACUAAAACUCAAAGGAAUUGACGGGGGC
rnacentral:rRNA from 1 species